CCUACGGGAGGCAGCAGUGGGGAAUAUUGCACAAUGGGGGAAACCCUGAUGCAGCGACGCCGCGUGGGUGAAGAAGCGCCUCGGCGCGUAAAGCCCUGUCAGCAGGGAAGAAAAUGACGGUACCUGAAGAAGAAGCCCCGGCUAACUACGUGCCAGCAGCCGCGGUAAUACGUAGGGGGCAAGCAUUAUCCGGAUUUACUGGGUGUAAAGGGGGCGCAGACGGCGAUGCAAGCCAGGAGUGAAAGCCCGGGGCCCACCCCCGGGACUGCUCUUGGAACUGCGUGGCUAGAGUGCAGGGGGGGCAGGGGGGAUGCCUGGUGUAGCGGUGAAAUGCGUAGAAAUCAGGAGGAACACCGGGGGCGAAGGCGGCCUGCUGGACUGCAACUGACGUUGAGGCCCGAAAGCGUGGGGAGCAAACAGGAUUAGAUACCCCUGUAGUC
rnacentral:rRNA from 1 species